CCUACGGGUGGCUGCAGUGAGGAAUAUUGGUCAAUGGGCUUACGCCUGAAACAGCCAAGUCGCGUGAGGGAAGACUGCCCUAUGGGUUGUAAACCUCUUUUGUCAGGGAGCAACGCCGGCUACGUGUAGCCGGACUGAGAGUACCUGAAGAAAAAGCAUCGGCUAACUCCGUGCCAGCAGCCGCGGUAAUACGGAGGAUGCGAGCGUUAUCCGGAUUUAUUGGGUUUAAAGGGCGUGCAGCCGGGAAGACAAGUCAGAUGUGAAAUCCCGCGGCUCAACCGCGGAACUGCAGUUGAAACUGGUUUUCUUGAGUACCGGAGAGGUCAGCGGAAUUCGUUGUGUAGCGGUGAAAUGCGUAGAUAUAAGGAAGAACACCAGUGGCGAAGGCGGAUGACUGGACGGCAACUGACGGUGAGGCGCGAAAGCGUGGGGAGCAAACAGGAUUAGAUACCCUUGUAGUC
rnacentral:rRNA from 1 species